GCUUUUGCAUUCAAUUUUCAUCACAAUCACAGGGCGUUGGCCUUGGACAAGAUGUCCCUCUUUUUCUCUCGAAAAGUUUUUCCAUUUCGCGCCCCCCUCCUCUCUCUCUAAAACGUUGUCCAUUUCGCGUCCCGCUCUCUCUAGGAGAAACAUGUCAUAGGACACGAAGCAAUCUCUCUCUCUCUCUAGCUCCAUUUGGCUGCUGUCUCUCGCCGGAAAGAGGAAGCGAAGCAGAUUGAUCGAACACAAAACGCGCACCCUCUGUCCAUGGUAUUUUUUUCCAUUUCUUCAGAGAAGUUCGCAGAGGAAGAGUGAUGGCGGUCACAGCAGGUAAAGUGGCGUUUCGCGUGACCUUUGUCGUCCUUUUGGUGCUUCUCGCCUUCUACGUUGGCCGACCCCUCUACUGGAAGCUCUCCGCCACCAUUCAUGAGAUCCGCGAGUCCAAGCACCCUUACUCUGUUCGAGACGGGCUUUCACAUUUUGUUCAUGAAGCUCAGAAAUCGGUGGGAUGGUUCCAUGAUGAGUCAGAUGCAGGAGGUAUCGAUGAUACGAGCAGCAAGGCCACUAACCGGAGGCUUCUUCAGAUUGAUAGAAGAAAUAAAGAUCGUGGUGCAUGUGCAUGUUUGAACUUAGUUGACCUCUGCUAAAAGAAAGCGGUAGUUUCCUUUCAACUUGGCCCAUUCUACUCCUCAUCUAGAUGACGUUGGGGAAUGAAUUAUGACAUAGGCAACCAACCCAAUCUUCGUUACAAAAGACAACUAGCAGAGAGAUAGACACUUUCCCAAAGUUUCCAGAAGAUGGCUGAUCGUCAUGAACCUCAACUAUCAAUCUCAACUACGAGGGAAACAGAUGCCUACUUGAAUAUGCACUGUAUGCAAUGUUGAAUGCCUUGAACCAGAAAACAAAAGUUGUCCAUUCUACUGCUACAAAUUUCUGUGAUGUUGGCCAAAUAAAAGGAUGAGAAUCUGUUACAAUAUUGAAAGACUCGUGCCUUUGCUGAAGCAUGAGUCCCAAACGUGAGGUGCAUUCUUUUAUGUGCUAUAUCCCUCUAGAGGUUUUUUUGGGUAUUCGGUGCUUCCUCUAGAUAUGCUGAAUUGUUUAAGUUGUGGUUCAGUUGAGGUGUGUCAUUUGAGGCAUGCUUUAAAUUGCUUUUGUUGUUUGUUUGUACCUUACACGGAAAGCACCCCAACAAUGUUGCCAUUGUUUGAUAGACAAUGCACAUAUUUGUACUACAUAAAAAAAGAAUAUCUAGGCGAAAGAAUAUCUAGGUGGA